ACCAACGUUUCAGUCCCCACUGGGACUUUCAUCAGGAUCAGGUAUGCUCAGGUCAUACCUGAUCCUGAUGAAAGUCCCAGUGGGGACUGAAAUGU